rfam:Taeniopygia guttata chromosome Z Contig40.178, whole genome shotgun sequence.
AUGCAUGCUGGGCUAUAAUUUAUGAAACGGAGCACAGGAAACAACCAAUCGCUUAGCUUCUCCUAACAAGUCCAACUGGCUAGGAAAAGCUGUAAGUGCUGCACAGAACAAUGAAGAGGAUCUAUCCCACAUAUUAAUCUGCUUAUCUAGGAUUGCCUUCUGUGUAGAGAGAAGGAAGCAUGUAAAAAGAGAGGGAAAAAAAAAAAGAAAAAUCACCGUUCCAUUGUUAACAGAAUAAAUUCCAGUCAACAUGAAAAUCCUCCAUUGCAGUCAGAUGGC